rnacentral:rRNA from 1 species
UCACUAAGAGAUGGUCCCGCGGUGCAUUAGCUAGUUGGUAAGGUAAUGGCUUACCAAGGCGAUGAUGCAUAGCCGAGUUGAGAGACUGAUCGGCCACAAUGGGACUGAGACACGGCCCAUACUCCUACGGGAGGCAGCAGUAGGGAAUCUUCCACAAUGGGCGAAAGCCUGAUGGAGCAACGCCGCGUGUGUGAUGAAGGGUUUCGGCUCGUAAAACACUGUUGUAAGAGAAGAAUGACAUUGAGAGUAACUGUUCAAUGUGUGACGGUAUCUUACCAGAAAGGAACUGCUAAAUACGUGCCAGCAGCCGCGGUAAUACGUAUGUUCCAAGCGUUAUCCGGAUUUAUUGGGCGUAAAGCGAGCGCAGACGGUUAUUUAAGUCUGAAGUGAAAGCCCUCAGCUCAACUGAGGAAUUGCUUUGGAAACUGGAUGACUUGAGUGCAGUAGAGGAAAGUGGAACUCCAUGUGUAGCGGUGAAAUGCGUAGAUAU